AGAGUUUGAUCCUGGCUCAGAAUGAACGCUGGCGGCAGGCCUAACACAUGCAAGUCGAACGGAUCCUUCGGGAUUAGUGGCGGACGGGUGAGUAACGCGUGGGAACGUACCCCUUUCUUCGGAAUAGCCUCGGGAAACUGGGAGUAAUACCGGAUAAGCCCUAUUGGGGAAAGAUUUAUCGCCAGAGGAUCGGCCCGCGUUAGAUUAGCUUGUUGGUGAGGUAAUGGCUCACCAAGGCUACGAUCUAUAGCUGGUCUGAGAGGAUGAUCAGCCACACUGGGACUGAGACACGGCCCAGACUCUUACGGGAGGCAGCAGUGGGGAAUCUUGGACAAUGGGCGAAAGCCUGAUCCAGCCAUGCCGCGUGAAUGAUGAAGGCCCUAGGGUUGUAAAAUUCUUUCGACGGGGAAGAUAAUGACGGUACCCGUAGAAGAAGCUCCGGCUAACUUCGUG
rnacentral:rRNA from 1 species